GCAAGUCGAGCGGACUUUUGGGAGCUUGCUCCCAGAAGUCAGCGGCGGACGGGUGAGUAACACGUGGGCAACCUGCCUGUAAGACUGGGAUAACUCCGGGAAACCGGGGCUAAUACCGGAUAAUUCUUUCCCUCACAUGAGGGAAAGCUGAAAGAUGGUUUCGGCUAUCACUUACAGAUGGGCCCGCGGCGCAUUAGCUAGUUGGUGAGGUAACGGCUCACCAAGGCAACGAUGCGUAGCCGACCUGAGAGGGUGAUCGGCCACACUGGGACUGAGACACGGCCCAGACUCCUACGGGAGGCAGCAGUAGGGAAUCUUCCGCAAUGGACGAAAGUCUGACGGAGCAACGCCGCGUGAGUGAUGAAGGUUUUCGGAUCGUAAAACUCUGUUGUUAGGGAAGAACAAGUACCGGAGUAACUGCCGGUACCUUGACGGUACCUAACCAGAAAGCCACGGCUAACUACGUGCCAGCAGCCGCGGUAAUACGUAGGUGGCAAGCGUUGUCCGGAAUUAUUGGGCGUAAAGCGCGCGCAGGCGGUUCCUUAAGUCUGAUGUGAAAGCCCACGGCUCAACCGUGGAGGGUCAUUGGAAACUGGGGAACUUGAGUGCAGAAGAGGAGAGUGGAAUUCCACGUGUAGCGGUGAAAUGCGUAGAGAUGUGGAGGAACACCAGUGGCGAAGGCGACUCUCUGGUCUGUAACUGACGCUGAGGCG
rnacentral:rRNA from 2 species